rnacentral:rRNA from 1 species
ACUCAAAUGAAUAGACGGGGGCCCGCACAAGCGGUGGAGCAUGUGGAUUAAUUCGUCACUAACCGAAGAACCUUACCCAGGCUUGACAUCGCGUGUAACUCUGUGAAAGCAGAGCCCUCUCGCAAGAGAGCACAAAGACAGGUGUUGCAUGGCUGUCGUCAGCUCGUGUCGUGAGAUGUUGGGUUAAGUCCCGCAACGAGCGCAACCCUCACCGUAUGUUGGCAGCGUUAAGUCGGCAACUCUUACGGAACUGCCCGUGCAAGCGGGAGGAAGGUGGGGACGACGUCAAGUCGGCAUGGCCCUUACGCCUGGGGCUUCACACAUGCUACAAUGGGCGGGGCAGAGCGCACCGAUACCGCGAGGUGGAGGCAAUCGCACAAACCCGUCCUCAGUUCGGAUUGCAGGCUGCAACUCGCCUGCAUGAAGCCGGAAUCGCUAGUAACCGCAGGUCAGCGAAACUGCGGUGAAUACGUUCCCGGGCCUUGUACACACCGCCCGU